rnacentral:rRNA from 1 species
UACGAAGGGGGCUAGCGUUGCUCGGAAUCACUGGGCGUAAAGGGCGCGUAGGCGGCCUGCUAAGUCGAACGUGGAAAUCCCCGAGCUCAACUCGGGAACUGCAUCCGAUACUGGAUGGCUUGAAUCCGGGAGAGGGAUGCGGAAUUCCAGGUGUAGCGGUGAAAUGCGUAGAUAUGGCGGAGGAACACCGAUGGCGAAGGCAAUCCCGUGGCGCACUGACGCUCAUGCACGAAAGCGUGGGAGCGAAACAGG